rnacentral:rRNA from 1 species
CCUACGGGACGCACCAGUAGGGAAUCUUCGGCAAUGGACGAAAGUCUGACGGAGCAACGCCGCGUGAGCGAAGAAGGCCUUCGGGUCGUAAAGCUCUGUUGUUAGGGAAGAACAAGUAACGCAGUAACUGGCGUUACCGUGACGGUACCUAACGAGAAAGCCACGGCUAACUACGUGCCAGCAGCCGCGGUAAUACGUAGGUGGCAAGCGUUGUCCGGAUUUAUUGGGCGUAAAGCGAGCGCAGGCGGUCUUUUAAGUCUGAUGUGAAAGCCCUCGGCUCAACCGAGGAAGAUCAUUGGAAACUGGAGGACUUGAGUGCAGAAGAGGAGAGUGGAAUUCCAUGUGUAGCGGUGAAAUGCGUAGAUAUAUGGAGGAACACCAGUGGCGAAGGCGACUCUCUGGUCUGUAACUGACGCUGAGGCUCGAAAGCGUGGGGAGCAAACAGGAUUAGAUACCCGUGUAGUC